rnacentral:rRNA from 1 species
UGGCGGACGGGUGAGUAACACGUGAGCAACCUGCCUUUCAGAGGGGGAUAACGUUUGGAAACGAACGUCUAAUACCGCAUAAAAUAUCGGAGUCGCAUGGCACUGAUAUCAAAGGAGCAAUCCGCUGAAAGAUGGGCUCGCGUCCGAUUAGGCAGUUGGCGGGGUAACGGCCCACCAAACCGACAAUCGGUAGCCGGACUGAGAGGUUGAACGGCCACAUUGGGACUGAGACACGGCCCAGACUCCUACGGGAGGCAGCAG